UUAAUGUCCCUGGAUGAAAAAAAAAAAAACCGGUUUUUACUGAGUGUGGGUGAAGGUGUAUUUAGACUAGUUUGAAAGUUAAAGACAGCAGUAAACUCCAAAGUACAGGGACUAAGAAUACAUACCAAAUUGUGACUCCUCCCAUUGCUCCAGUAAGAAGGCCCCAGGAGCACAAAGGUCAGCAGGCUGUGUGUUCUUUAGAUGAAAGGGACUGCCCGCCAUUUUUCUUGACCCCACUGUAUUAGACCCUUGGCUUUGGGGCCUCCAUUUUCUUAGGGUUUUCUACAGAAAGGGCCUAAUGAAGAAAUGACUGCUCUUGUCUAUCUUAGGAGGGGGCUGAGGCUGGGUUUUCUAAAGGGUUGCUUUUCUGUGGUGUGGGUGUGGCCUUCACUUUUCAUCCUCUGUCCUUGAGUGGCUCCUGGCUUCCACCCUGAUCCUGUAGGAUACGGCUUCUGUACUCAGAAACAAUUUCAGCCUAUUCUUUGUGGGAAACUUCUGAAACAAAUUCUAGAAAGUUCCAUCACAAUGGGGGCAUGCUUCAUGGAGGAAGGUACAGGAAGAACCCCAGGACAUGCAUUUUGAAGGCAUUUCUGUUUCCUAUCUUUCCAGUCCUCAAAUAGCCCCAGGAGGGGCACCCUGUGAUGGUGAGGAAUGUGAGGGAUCUGGACGGAGUAAGGGACUUCCCAGGACACCUCAUCAUCAGUAGAAACUGGACACCUGAGAUUAAGUUCAACUCUGGGGUAUAUGCUAGAUUCUCCAGAUCUACCCAUGGACCAAGAGUUAGAAAACUGAAGACAUUGUCUCACAGACAGGUCAGAUGACAGUGGCUCGAGGAACACAUUUCAUUCAAAGUCACCAGCCAGCCAGCGUGGUUUACAGACUGGAACACGACCCUGUACAGUUGACUGACUAGUUCCUCUCUCAAGAAUUUUCAAGUAAACUUGGGAUGCACUCUGUUGUAGUUAAAGCUGAAUCUGCCUCCCAGGCCCAUGCUCCCAGAAAUAAGACUCAGACUCAAAUUAUAUUUAUAAAUAACUUGCCAUAUGGUUAGGUCUACUCUGACUAGAUCAUAACUAAAGCUAUCCUUUAAUUUUAACCUGUGUCCGGGUAUCAACCGUCCACAUGUCUUUCUUACCUCUCUUCGGGCUCCUUCUCCCUCCUUCUCUCCCAGAAUGCUUUCUCCUCCUGAUGUCUCAUCUCCAUUUCCUAACUAAGCCACAGGCCAGAGACUUUUUAGUUGACAGACUAAGCAUCCAUACAAUGUACAAGAUGAUCUCUCUAUAGCACUAUAGGUUAUGCCUAUCACUGAAUGCUUGUAGUUGGGAGAUGGAUGAGUUUAUCACAGGGUUUCUGUGUUGUGCUGAGCAGUACACAGCAGACUUCUUACUUCUGGACACAUUCAAACCUCCCAAUGGCCCAGUCAGGAACGCUAGAAAAGUAGAUGACUUGCUAAUAUUACACAAAUAAACCAGCAAACGGAAGAGUUGAUCAGGAUGAGCCUACAUCAAAGCUCUUGCUCUUAGCCUCGUGCUCUGGAACCCUCAUCCUCCUGGGGCUACCCCACCAAUGUGCAGAGCUGAGCCCCAAGACUUGUCCCUUCUUAGGACUAACCAAAUUCUGUAGACUUGGGGACUAAUGCAUAGAGACAUUAUGCAAUUUAUACAAAUAUAUGUAAGAGAUGGCCUGACAUAUAAAUCCUUAGACAGGUGUGAUCUGAGACUUAGAAUAUAGAUAUAGAUUUAUAGAUAUAUAUCUUGUCCCUGUUUCUUGGCAAACAGUUCUUGAAGCCAUGUACAAAAUGAAAAAGUACCUCUGUGUGAUCAUGGGAUAGACAAAGGCCGAGGGCAUCCCUUGGGAAGGGUCUGAUUGUCAGGAGAGCCAUUCUCCUGCUGCAGCACCAGUGCCAACCUCCAGGAGGCAGGACGUUUCUGGAGAUGGAUUCAGUCCCCAGUGGCAAUAACCUAACCAAUUGAAACUGUGCAAUGAAGUCCCCACACAACAAAACAAAGCGACCAAUAACAACAACAGUCCCAGUACAUCUGCUGAACAGGUGAAGGUGCCGGGUGGACGCCUUCCGUACCCCACCUCUAUCCCAUGAAUCUUUGCGCGUGGCUGCACUCACAUUCUCCGUUGCAUCCUUCACGCCGGCAGACAUCAAAGGCGUUUCCCCGAGUUCCGCAGCCUUCUUUAACAACUCACUGAACUUGCGGGUAAGAGCCGCAGAAGUUCCAAGUUAGCACAAAGUCAGGCAGUUACAUGGUUAGUCACCAAACCUUUUCAGGUGGCUGGGACAGCUGAUGUCAGUAGCAAAAGACACAACAACCAGGAAUGCGGUUAGCUCCUGGGGUGAGGCAAUUUGCAGAACUUUGCUUUCAGAAAUCAGAAGCUAUCUAGUCCUGUAGGAGUGUGGGGAUGCAGUGCCCCCAACAGACUGAAUUUGCAGAGUGGGGCUGGAAGGCAGGUGACACCCACUCCUCCCUUUUGCACUGGUCCCGCUCUGGGCAAUCUGAAACUCAUUUUCUUUCCUUUACUAGCCUACUCCAAGGAGCAACUUCGCUCCCACCCCUAACCCCCUUCUUCCCCUGACUCCUACUCCUGACCACUGCAUAAGGAGCCUGGCCUUGCUUGCAAACUGCUUUGUGCUUUCAUACCGUGAACCAAACACCAUGCUGCUUUCGGUCCAAAUUGGCUUGAGGACUUACUUUUGCAUUCUCAUCUAACUCCCCAGAAGGAUGACACUUCAAAGGCACUGUAUCCAGGUAACAUACAAUUCCUGAGGAUGGGGAGGAGUCCGAGAUUUGGGAGCAAACCGACCGUGACUACCAGCCUCACUUCUACAGUUCAUCAGACCGCUAUCCACACCAAAUACACAGAAACACCAGAGGAAAGGCUCCAUGAGCACACAGUGGGAAAGGAAGGAGGAACAUGGCCACAGCAAGUCAGAAGGAGCAUCCUCUCCAGGCAGCACUCAGAAGCCCUGACCCCAGACUUCAGCUGCCAGAACUCGUACAAAGUAAACGUGUGUUGUUAGCUCACCUGGCCUGUGGUGCUUGGCCAAGGCAGCCCUCAAGACUCAGCUCUGCCUCUCUCCCAGACUGGAGUCCCUCCCAAUGUGAAGGUCCCUGCCCUGCCUGCCAUGUCACUCCAGGGUAGCUUGACUCCCUGCUUGCCCCUGUCACAUUCUUGCCCAGUGGUGUGUACACCCUGACUCUUCUAUAACCACCCUUUCUCUUAAAGAUUUGUCCGUGGGGCUAGAGAGAUGCCUCAAUGGUUAAGAGCACCCAAGUUCAAUUCCCAACACCCACAUGGCAGCUCAUAACAGCCUGUAACUGUAGCCUCAAGGAAUCCAAUGCCCUCUUCUGGCCUCUUUUGGCACCAGUCAUGAAUGUGGUGCAGGGAUUAAACACCCAUACACAUUAAAAAA
rnacentral:sRNA from 1 species